GACGUAGGGCGCGAGCGUUGUUCGGAUUUACUGGGCGUAAAGCGCACGUAGGCGGACUAUUAAGUCAGGGGUGAAAUCCCGGGGCUCAACCCCGGAACUGCCUUUGAUACUGGUAGUCUUGAGUUCGAGAGAGGUGAGUGGAAUUCCGAGUGUAGAGGUGAAAUUCGUAGAUAUUCGGAGGAACACCAGCGGCGAAGGCGGCGCUCUGGGCCGGAACUGACGCUGAGGAGCGAAAGCGUGGGUAGCAAACGGG
rnacentral:rRNA from 1 species